UUGACUGUUAGAGAUGCAAAACUUUAAUUAGACAAAAAAAAAGAGCAUGCUCAUGAGAUGAGGCAAAUCAUCAAAAGGGCUUCCGACAGCAGCAUAUGAAAAACCAGAGAUUUGUUUCGAGAAUGUUCAUACAAUGCCUUGUACAUUUAACUCUUGUUAGCACACACUCAAGUUUGCUAAGUUUUGUAUAAGAUUGGCGUUUAAUUCAGUUAAACAGACGGUGACGGUAGUCACUGUAUUAAAUGCCUCCAUUUCUGUAUCUGCGUACGCACACACAACCUGAUAGUUGAAUCUGUAAAUUAUCAGUCAGCGAUUUCUAGUUAUUGUUGUGUUGUAUCAGCCAACUAGACUUGAUUAAAUCCCACGUAGAGUUAACCAAGACCACAAAAGCUAAACUUAAAACAUAUUAGCAAACGACAGAGCUGUGAAGUGAGACGAAGAUUAUGAUGAUAUACUGAGUAAUUGGAUACCUAUAGUACACUUUUGUAAAUGUCAGUGAACUAGACCGUCUAAUGCCUUACCACUGAGGUAGUGUUAGUGGUCACAUUAAGCACAGGUUUUCUGAAAAUAUAAGUGCCAAAUUACUUUUUAGUUUGCAAAAUGGAAUUGUGUAUGAAAUAAACAUUACACUGAGGCCGAUUUGUGACAGAAAACUCUUUAUGUCAAACACAGUUAGCUUAGCAGUGUUGAUGGGCCUUCUUUAAGGUCCUAAGAUUUCAUGCGCCAACCAUAAAUAAUUAUUUAACAACUAAUAGGGCAAGGCCAGGAAUAUAAUAGCUUUUAUGUUGAAAUUAACAUCAAGUGAUCUGUAGACAUCUGCUCGGCAAGCCAAAUGUAGUCUUCAUGUUGCAUGUUUUGCCUCACUGCCUCAAAAUAACAAGCAGUCUUUCUAUUUGGAGGGGCAGUUUUCCUUGUUAAAAAUAAAGUGGGGGUCGGGGGAGGAAGCCUACUGAAAGAAAAUUGCUUACACUUUAAGGAUUGAGAGUGUGGUGAGCAUUAAACAGCCCUGCAGAUUUAAAUAAUGUGAAAUGUAAAAGGUUCAGCUUUGCAGAUGCUUUUCUUUCCUGAUGUAUGUACAGAGCUAUUUCAAGAACAAUAAGGAGAUUUUGCUUGUCAUUUUUCUCGCGCAGGUGAGGAUGUUGAACAAUGCAGUCGAAGGGUAGGACAGUGUAAAUCUACCUCAGUGAAUUUAGGUCUCCCCUCCCUCAAGAAGGUCAAAGAUGUUGGACAUCUCUUCCCUCCUUGCUGUUCUGCCCUCCAACAACUGCACUGCCUUCCACUUUCUACCUUUCAAAAAUCAUGUUUUUAUCCUCUUUCGUCAGCUUGUGAACAGACUGAACUUGGAUUGGUGUGGGUUUGUAUUUGUCAUGAUCGGAUAAUUCCCCCCCCCCAAACCUGAUUUCUUAGAUUUAAUUUUAUGUGCCAUGUCCUGAGCUUAGGAACCAUGAUCUGUUUUUGCUGAAAGCGCAUCUUGCAGUGUUUAACACAAAGUUCUUAGCACUGCUGCAAAGGCGCAAGCCAGACCUGUGAGAAGAGGGCAAAGAGCAACCCAUGAAGAUCCUUCAGAACCAUACACCAUGCUAAGUACAAAUAGGAAGGUACCCUCAUUGGAGAGAUGGAUUGAGAAGCAAGGACCGUGUGCAUUGGGAAUCUUUAAAAAGUAGCAGCAGUGAUGAAGGCCAUAGGGAGACAGCUGGAAAGUAUGAAGGAAUGGAGAAUUUGAAGAAGGAGGGAGAACAAACAGCAGUCAUAG